GCACUCUACAAGGAAAAGGAGUAUCUCUGGGAGGAAAUGAACUUUUUAACUUGCAAGAAUGGGAAAUGGCUCAUAAAGAGUUGCUUAUUGGGUUUAUGUUGAUUGCAUUUAAAUCCCAGCUUACUGUAUCAGCAGUAAUCAGGGUCCCUCUACAGGAUAUGUCAAAAUACACCUUAUUCAAAUGCAUUUAUCCUAUCUAGAAAGGCAUGAUAAAACUGUUCGCUAGCUAAAUCCUACAAAACCCUGGCUCCGAGCACUGGCUUUUGCAGAUGUACCUCUAAACUUCUAGUAGUUUAUAGCCUACCAAAUUGUUUUCUUUCCUUCAUUACCAAUGCUUUAAAAAAUCUAAUUAACUCAAUAAAGUAUUUAGUCCUCAUGAACUUUUGCAAGCAAAACAGGUUUUAGAAAAAGAAAGCAACUACAAUAUAUAUUUUUUUUAAUGAGUGGAACAUUACCAAUUUCUUAACUGCCAUCUACUUAAAAUCCAAGUGCAUUUUCCAGUAGUAGUUUCGUGCUGUGUGGAUGACACUAUCAUGCUAACUCUUGCUUUGUGUGGGUUUGGUGUAGGCUUUUGAAAAGCAAGACGUGUCUAGGAGGGAGGCACCAGGGAACUUCCCUCCCUCGCUUGAGCACAGUCCAAGAUGAAAGUUUCUGGGUUGUUUCCCUUCGCUUCCUCUCACCCUCGCUCCCCCUCGGAGCCGCAGAGCCAGCAAUUGUGCAAGAAGAGCCGGGUGUGCAGGGCGCGUAUCACCAAGCGCAUGGUACGAGCCGCCGACUCUGGUGAUUAAUUAUCAGUUGCCGCCGGCCUCACACUAACACGUCGGCUUUCCGGGCAGAGCCAGCACACCCAGCCGCCGGCAGCGCGGCCCGGACCGAGCAGCGGCUCUGGGGAGGACGCCGCGGCUGCGCCCGAGUUUACACCUUCUCCAGAUGGCUCCUGGCAACCUUGGCUGGGCAUUUCAACAUAUAGGAAACUCAGCCAGAAUAGCCUGAAGAUUUCAGAGGACAAGAUCAUGGUCCAAACUGCAAUCCAGUGUACUCCCAGGCGUAAGUUAUCAACUGAACUUUGAUGGCCACCAAAAUCCCUACCUUCAGCUUAGACUGCUCUUCUACACUGCAAACGUACUCAACUGUCUACCUGUCAUUUCCAAGAGAAUGCCUAACAGGAACUUCAAAAGGAACUUCCACAAGUGCUGCCCUAGGACUCCUCAAAUUUGCUCCUUCUCCAGAAUUGAGCUUAUUAAAUAGCACCAUUGACCACUGAAUCCUUGGAAAAUAAUUUUUUUCCAUUUACAAAGUCCAAAGGGAUGGACUAUUUUAUCUUUUCCCAUUUUGUUAAGAGCAUUUUCUUGGAGCUAUAGUGAAUCUCAGUCUUUACAUUAACCAUCAGAACAGAGGUAAAUCUCUAGGGAUUAAGUCCACUCUCCAGUUUUCAUUGCAGAGAUAUCUCCAAGGUCACAUGCCAGAUCACCUCAAUAUGUAAAAACAAACCACUAGAAUUAGCUCAAGUGUUUCUCAUGAGAUGUACAGAACACUCUCACAAGGAGAAGCUCCUUUUCUCUCGAGAAGAUGAGACAGUGAUGUACUUUGUUCUGCUUUGAUGUAUACAAACUGUGAGAUUUUGUCCCAACUUUAUAGUCACUUUGUGUUAUCCUACAUGCAUGUAAAUCUGUUAAUGUCUACUCAAUAAUAAAUUGUGUUCUUUCUCUCUCUUGUAAGUCAA